rfam:Loxodonta africana unplaced genomic scaffold scaffold_40, whole genome shotgun sequence.
UAAGCCGUGCUCAGAAGUCAAGAGCAGGGGCAACGCGGUCUCCGCACGGCCUUUCAUGCCACGGCUGCUCCUUAUUCUUGUGCUUCGGCCUCUCCGGGCGCCCCCGGACAAAGCCUCGGAGCCCGGCCGCUCACUUCCCGCUAAAUCCCCUUCGGGGUCAGUGCGCCACCGGCACCGGGCCGCCCGCCUCUCCUGCCAGCCGUGUGGCUCUUAAAGAGAUGCACCCCCCCUCCGCCCUGCGCGCUCCCCGACCCUCUCCUCCCCGCCCCUCUCCUCCGGAUCUAGCCCCCCACGCCGACGCCCGAGGCCCCUGCUGCCCCGGC